UGUAGGUAGGGUUUCACCCUGUUGGCCAGGCUGGUCUCAAACUCCUAACCUCAAGUGAUCCACCCACCUCGGCCUCCCAAAGUGUUGAAAUUACAGGUGUGAGCCACAGCACCCAGCCAACUUUUGAAUUGUGAACCAGUUGAUUCAGUACCAGAGCUCUUCAACACCUUGAAGAAAGAUUCAAGGAGAACAGUUGUGAACAGCUUGCCCCAGGGAAAGGACAAGGCUAAGAGAAUUCCAAGGCUUGCUUGUGAAAACAGAAUUGGGGAAAUGGAAAUUGAAGAAAUUGUAGCUGUCAGGAACAAGAGAAGAAUGACAUGAAAUCUGCUACUGAGAUAUGUUGGAUAUUUUGCACAAGUGAAACAUAUCUACAACUGGAAUCUCCCUCCAAGAAGGAUACUCUUUAUAAGAAGAUUCAUUAUUUAUUCGAUUCAUGGCUUAAACCACAAAGAAAUGAAUUGGAUAAUCCACAUAAACAAAAGACAUGGAAAAUUUACCCACUAGAAUUUGCAGUAGAGAUUUUAUUAGAAAUGACUUACAGUUAUGUUGUGGCUGGUAUCUGAUUAAGUAUAGUUCUCCCUUCCACUUCUGGGAAAGAAUUAUGUUCUUUCCAACCCCUGCCACAUAGUUUUAUGUUCUAAAUCUUCCUUGAUGAUAUAUCUAUAUUUAUAUAUGUUUACAUAUGUUCUUGAUAAAUCUAUUAAAUAGAUAUAGAUAAAA
rnacentral:sRNA from 1 species